rnacentral:tRNA from 1 species
AAAGCGGUAGUUCAGUUGGUUAGACUCUUUAUAAACAGAAGGCGGCCUGUCACGCCGGGGGUCGCGGGUUCGAGUCCCGUCCGCUCCGCCA